rnacentral:rRNA from 1 species
CAAUAGCGUAUAUUAAAGUUGUUGCAGUUAAAAAGCUCGUAGUUGGAUUUCUGGUGGGAGCGAUCGGUCUGGCGCUUAGCGCGAGUACUUGCAUCGUCUCCGGCCAUCCUUGGGGAGAGUCUGUCUGGCAUUAGGUUGUCGGGCAGAGGAUCCUCAUCGUUUACUUUGAAAAAAUUAGAGUGUUCAAAGCAGGCUUAUGCCGUUGAAUAUAUUAGCAUGGAAUAAUAAGAUAGGACUUUGGUACUAUUUUGUUGGUUUGCGCACCAAAGUAAUGAUUAAUAGGGACAGUUGGGGGUAUUCGUAUUCCGUUGUCAGAGGUGAAAUUCUUGGAUUUACGGAAGACGAACUACUGCGAAAGCAUUUACCAAGGAUGUUUUCAUUAA